CAGAGCACUCCUACGGGAGGCAGCAGUGGGGAAUAUUGCACAAUGGGGGAAACCCUGAUGCAGCCAUGCCGCGUGUGUGAAGAAGGGUUUCGGCUCGUAAAACUCUGUUGUUAAAGAAGAACAUAUCUGAGAGUAACUGUUCAGGUAUUGACGGUAUUUAACCAGAAAGCCACGGCUAACUACGUGCCAGCAGCCGCGGUAAUACGUAGGUGGCAAGCGUUGUCCGGAUUUAUUGGGCGUAAAGCGAGCGCAGGCGGUUUUUAAGUCUGAUGUGAAAGCCUUCGGCUCAACCGAAGAAGUGCAUCGGAAACUGGGAAACUUGAGUGCAGAAGAGGACAGUGGAACUCCAUGUGUAGCGGUGAAAUGCGUAGAUAUAUGGAAGAACACCAGUGGCGAAGGCGGCUGUCUGGUCUGUAACUGACGCUGAGGCUCGAAAGUAUGGGUAGCAAACAGGGUUAGAUACCCUGGUAG
rnacentral:rRNA from 1 species